rnacentral:lncRNA from 1 species
GGUGGAUCUUGCAGAAUUGCACACGAUGGCUGGGGACUUAUCAAUGGGAUGACGCCGCUAGCGUCGUACUGUCAAUUGAUCGAAAGAAACAGCAAACAAGAAAAAAGAAGUUCAAGAAAACAGGUCUGAUACGGACAAGGUGAACAGGAGGCUCGCUCCGUCGUCCGACCGAUCGACUCACUGGCCAACUGGCCUGACAAAUCUGAGUGUAUUACGUGUAUGAUGCAAUGGCAAGGCUAGAGCGACAAAACAUAUUUUUUUGUUUAUCGCGUAAUGAAAUGGCUGGUAAAUGUAUGUAAAUGAACAACAGAUGUGAGUAAGCAGAAAUCAGUGCAAGGGGAAACUUUACCAAUAGCA